GUGGGGAAUCUUCCGCAAUGGACGAAAGUCUGACGGAGCAACGCCGCGUGAGUGAUGAAGGUCUUCGGAUUGUAAAGCUCUGUUAAUCGGGACGAAAGAGCCUAGUGUGAAUAAUGCUAGGAAGUGACGGUACCGGAAUAGAAAGCCACGGCUAACUACGUGCCAGCAGCCGCGGUAAUACGUAGGUGGCAAGCGUUGUCCGGAAUUAUUGGGCGUAAAGCGCGCGCAGGCGGAUCUGCCAGUCUGUCUUAAAAGUUCGGGGCUUAACCCCGUGAUGGGAUGGAAACUACAGAUCUAGAGUAUCGGAGAGGAAAGUGGAAUUCCUAGUGUAGCGGUGAAAUGCGUAGAUAUUAGGAAGAACACCGGUGGCGAAGGCGACUUGCUGGCCAGCAACUGACGCUGAGGCGCGAAAGCCAGGGGAGCAAACGGGAUUAGAUACCCGGGUAGUCC
rnacentral:rRNA from 1 species